rnacentral:rRNA from 1 species
AGUGCUCAGUCACACGUAUCAGUAACACGUUGUCAACGUAGCUUUGGGACGGGGACAACGUCGAGUACCCGAGAGUUAUCCAUUAUAGGAGAGGUGCGAUGGAAUGCCUCAUCCCCCUACAUUCCGGUGUGCAAGGAUGAGAAUGCGGUUUAUCAGGAUCAGGCAGUUGUAGCGGUACAGCAUCACUACGCCGUGUACGGGUGAUGGGCGUGGGAGUCGUGAGAUGGGGAUUGACACAAGGCCACAGGCCCUGGGGCUAGCAGCAGGCGCGAAAACUAAACAAUCCGAACUAGCGCAACGGGGGAAUGGCAAGUGCCGUUGGUAUUAUGAUAAGCGGUUUUUUGCAAGUUUAAGGAGCUUUCAGAAUAAGGGGGGGGCAAGACUGGUUCCAGCCGCCGCGGUAACACCCACAGCCCAAGUGGGGAGCGAGAUUUUUGGGCCUAAAGCGCUCGUAGCCCAAUCAGCAAAUCCCUUGUGAAAUUCCACCGCCUUACGGUUUGGCGUGCAAGGGAUACUGUUGGUCUUGAGGCCGGGAGAGGUCGGAGGUAUUCCUGGGGUAGCGGUGAAAUGCUUUAAUCCCAGGGGGACCACCAGUGGCGAAGGCGUCCGACCAGAACGGGCCUGACGGUGAGGGGCGAAAGCUAGGGGAGCGAACGGGAUUAGAUACCCCGGUAGUCCCAGCCGUAAAGCAUGCGGGCCAGGUGUUUAGUCGUCCUUGAGGCCCCUCGGUGCCGGAGGGAAGCCGUUAAGCCCGCCGCCUGGGAAGUACGGCCGCAAGGCUGAAACUUAAAGGAAUUGGCGGGGGAGCACCACAAGGGGUGGGACCUGCGGUUU